GUGAGGAAUAUUGGUCAAUGGGCGAGAGCCUGAACCAGCCAAGUCGCGUGAAGGAUGAAGGUUUUAUGAAUUGUAAACUUCUUUUGCAGGGGAAUAAAGUACGGUACGUGUACCGUUUUGUAUGUACUCUGCGAAUAAGGAUCGGCUAACUCCGUGCCAGCAGCCGCGGUAAUACGGAGGAUCCAAGCGUUAUCCGGAUUUAUUGGGUUUAAAGGGUGCGCAGGCGGGUUGAUAAGUCAGCGGUGAAAGUUUGCAGCUUAACUGUAAAAAUGCCGUUGAAACUGUCGGACUUGAGUGUAAAUGAGGUAGGCGGAAUGCGUGGUGUAGCGGUGAAAUGCAUAGAUAUCACGCAGAACUCCGAUUGCGAAGGCAGCUUACUAAGCUACAACUGACACUGAAGCACGAAAGCGUGGGGAUCAAACAGGAUUAGAUACCCUGGUAGUCC
rnacentral:rRNA from 1 species